rnacentral:rRNA from 1 species
AACGAACGCUGGCGGCAGGCUUAACACAUGCAAGUCGAACGCAUCGCAAGAUGAGUGGCAGACGGGUGAGUAACGCGUGGGAACAUACCCUUUUCUACGGAAUAGCUCUGGGAAACUGGAAUUAAUACCGUAUACGCCCUACGGGGGAAAGAUUUAUCGGGGAAGGAUUGGCCCGCGUUGGAUUAGCUAGUUGGUGGGGUAAAGGCCUACCAAGGCGACGAUCCAUAGCUGGUCUGAGAGGAUGAUCAGCCACAUUGGGACUGAGACACGGCCCAAACUCCUACGGGAGGCAGCAGUGGGGAAUAUUGGACAAUGGGCGCAAGCCUGAUCCAGCCAUGCCGCGUGAGUGAUGAAGGCCUUAGGGUUGUAAAGCUCUUUCACCGAUGAAGAUAAUGACGGUAGUCGGAGAGGAAGCUCCAGCUAACUUCGUGCCAGCCGCCGCGGUAAAAC